rnacentral:rRNA from 1 species
UCGCCUGUUUAUCAAAAACAUCGCUCUCCGACCACUAAACAUGGAGAGUCCUGCCUGCCCAGUGACUUAAACAGUUAAACGGCCGCGGUAUCCUGACCGUGCGAAGGUAGCAUAAUUACUUGUCUCCUAAAUAGAGACUGGCAUGAAUGCAAGACGGGGCCCUACUGUCUCCUUAUCUUUUAUCUGAAAUUCACAUCUUUGUGAAGAGGCAGAGAUAAAAUCGUUAGACGAGAAGACCCUAUCGAGCUUAAGUCAAGGCAAGAGCCCAAAACUCCCUCACCGCGUCUCUAAUUUUAUUCAUUUAAUUCACGGCUAUGAGGAACUGUUUCUUGCGGGAACUUCAGUUGGGGCAACUGCGGAGAAAGAAAAUCCUCCGCUGAUAUUAAUAUUUCUAGGGGAACGACCCUGAAAUGAUUUAUUCUUAGUGAUCCAUUCCGGUGAUCAAAGGAACAAGUUACCGUAGGGAUAACAGCGUAAUCUUUUUUGAGAGUUCAUAUUGACAAAAAGGUUUGCGACCUCGAUGUUGGAUCGGGACAUCCUAAUAGUGCAGAAGCUUUUAAGGGUUGGUCUGUUCGACCAUUAAAGUCCUACGUGAUCUGAGUUCAGACCGG